rnacentral:misc_RNA from 1 species
GAGUGAAGAUGACUCUUUCGUUAACAAUUCUUCAGGUGUUAGCGAAACUCAUACUGAGAAGCAGACUUUGGACUGCAGCGCAGCACAUACAGACACAUGCGCAAUCAUAGAUCAUAUUGAAGUGCAUGACUAUCAUGACACCCCGAAAUCAUACAGUGCAAUAACCCAGAGUAUAAAUAACAAUGACAGUGAUUCAGAUUCUAGACCUGACCAGUAUUACAGACAUCAGCACCAAAAACAGGACGAGGAUUGUACGCGACUAUAUGGACGCCGACCAAGGUCGUGACCUAGUUCCUCGUGAUAUCAAGGACGUUGUGCAGAGUUACUCACAAAAAAGAUACAAGAAACUCGAGGACGAAAGUUCCGACGAUGAAGACUUUCAGAUUAGCCUUGCAGAAGAGACAAGUCCCGUUUUUCACAGUGCAAAAGACUUUAUAAGAAAGAAGUCCAACAAAAAAGGCAGACGCAAAAAGGUACACGUUUUGAAAAUGUUGCGCAGACUUUCAUGUCUGACAUCAUCAAUGCAAGUCAAUCAAAGGAAAUUUCGGUGAACUAGAAACUGAGGUUUGGAGCAUUUUAUGAGUGUAAUAUAUUUCAAAUAUAUAUUAUGCAGAGAUGUAUAUAUAUUAUAAAAUGUCUUUAUGUAAAUAGAUGAGAACAAGCAAUGUUGGCAGAGGAGCGAUCUCGGUUCCUCGACCAAAAUGUUCACUUUACACACUGCCACUGCCAAGAAUCUGAGACAUGAAAAAGAUCAUUGUUAAGAUUUUUUGGUAGCACACACAUACUCGCACACUCUAGACUAUAGGAAAACAUGUCUUCAAAAUUCUUUUGGGUAUUGGUAUGGUCAAACGGUACACUAGAUAAAGAUCAAUUGACCAUCUUUGGUUAUUUCCAGAAAAAGGGUAAACAUUUUGUUUUUAUAAAUGGAAUAGAUAACGCAUUUUGAUCUAUUUUUUCUGAAAAUAUCAAACUACAUAAGAUUGGUGAGUCAACAAUGUCGUGUGAUGAAACCAACCUUUUUAUUGUUGUUGUUAAUCUGAAAAUAAAAUGAGUAUUGUAAUUC